AAAACGACUCUCGGCAACGGAUAUCUUGGCUCUCGCAUCGAUGAAGAACGUAGCGAAAUGCGAUACUUGGUGUGAAUUGCAGAAUCCCGUGAACCAUCGAGUUUUUGAACGCAAGUUGCGCCCAAAGCCAUUAGGCUAAGGGCACGUCUGCCUGGGCGUCACGC
rnacentral:rRNA from 1 species